GACGAACGCUGGCGGUGUGCUUAACACAUGCAAGUGGAGCGACGAACCAGGGCUUGCCCUGGGGCAGAGCCGCGAACGGGUGAGUAACACGUGGGUAACCUACCCCGAUGACUGUGACAACCCGAGGAAACUCGGGCUAAUACCGGAUGUGUCCGACGUCCACGAGGACGUCGAGCAAAGGAAGCUUCGGCCUCCGCCACGGGAGGGCCCUGCGGCCCAUUAGCUUGUUGGUGGGGUAACGGCCUACCAAGGCUGGGAUGGGUAGCUGGUCUGAGAGGACGAUCAGCCACACUGGGACUGAGACACGGCCCAGACUCCUACGGGAGGCAGCAGUGGGGAAUCUUGCGCAAUGCGCGAAAGCGUGACGCAGCAACACCGCGUGAGGGAAGACGGCCUUCGGGUUGUAAACCUCUUUCAGGAGGGACGAAGGCCGGCCGGUUAACAGCCGUGCCGGCUGACGGUACCUCCACAAGAAGCUCCGGCUAACUACGUGCCAGCAGCCGCAGUAACAC
rnacentral:rRNA from 1 species